GGCAGACGGGUGAGUAACACGUAGGUGACGUACCCCCAAGAUGGGGAUAACUGUUGGAAACAGCAGCUAAUACCCGAUGUCCUUAUUCUGUCGAAGGGAUAAGGAAAACUCCGGUGCUUGGGGAGCGGCCUGCGGCCCAUCAGCUAGUUGGUAGGGUAAUGGCCUACCAAGGCAAAGACGGGUAGGGGGUGUGAGAGCAUGACCCCCCACAAUGGGACUGAGACACGGCCCAUACUCCUACGGGAGGCAGCAGCAGGGAAUCUUGCACAAUGGUCGAAAGACUGAUGCAGCGACGCCGCGUGAGUGAUGAAGGCCUUCGGGUUGUAAAACUCUUUUCGGGGGGAAGAGUGAGGACGGUACCCUCGGAAUAAGCGUCGGCUAACUACGUGCCAGCAGCCGCGGUAAGACGUAGGACGCAAGCGUUAUCCGGAUUUACUGGGCGUAAAGCGUCUGUAGGCGGGGGUGUAAGUUGGGCGUGAAAGCUCCCGGCUCAACCGGGAGAGGCCGCACAAUACUGCACGCCCAGAGGGGGUCAGAGGAGCAUGGAAUUUC
rnacentral:rRNA from 1 species